UACGGAGGGGGCUAGCGUUGUUCGGAAUUACUGGGCGUAAAGCGCACGUAGGCGGCGGACACAGUCAGACGUGAAAAUUCCUGGGCUCAACCUGGGGGCUGCGUUUGAUACAUGUCUGCUUGAGUUCGGAAGAGGGUCGUGGAAUUCCCAGUGUAGAGGUGAAAUUCGUAGAUAUUGGGAAGAACACCGGUGGCGAAGGCGGCGACCUGGUCCAAGACUGACGCUGGAGGCGCGAAAGACGUGGGGAGCGAACAGG
rnacentral:rRNA from 1 species